rnacentral:rRNA from 1 species
GAUGAACGCUAGCGGCAGGCUUAAUACAUGCAAGUUGAGGGGCAGCAUGAUAUACGCGAGUAUAUUGAUGGCGACCGGCGGACGGGUGAGUAAUAGGUAGGAGACCUACCUCAUACAGGGGGAUAGCAUAGAGAAAUCUGUGGUAAUACCCCAUGAGGUUAUAUGAAUAGAGGCAUAUAAUCAAAGCAUAAGCGAUUAUGCGGUAUGAGAGGGGCCUACUGACCAUUAGCUAGUUGGUGAGGUAAGGGCUCACCAAGGCGAGGAUGGUUAGGGGUUUUGAGAGAGAGACCCCCCACAUUGGAACUGAGAGACGGUCCAGACUCCUACGGGAGGCAGCAGUAGGGAAUAUUGGGCAAUGGGCGAAAGCCUGACCCAGCCAUGCCGCGUGAAGGAAGACGGCCUUAUGGGUUGUAAACUUCUUUACUACGCGAAUAGAGGUUAGUACGAGAUACUAAUAGGAAGGUAGUGUAGUAAAAAGCAACGGCUAACUCCGUG